GAGUGUGUGUUUUGUUUCAGGUAACGGGAGAGGCUGUGUAUGACUGGAGCCUGCAGGGCUAUGUGGUUGUAGAAUCACUGUGGAAAGACCACAGCAACAAGAAGAAUGCUAAGAAACAGAGUUCAAAGUCUGAAGUCGCCUCUGCAGAUCUUGACAGUAGCAGCAACACCCCUGCAAAGAACUGAACGCAUCAGGUUUGAAUGGCCGAAGCAGCUAACCUGGCUCUCCUGCUGUGUCUGCACGAUUUAUUAAAGCAACGGUUUGGCUGUGGCUCACUCACUCUCAGGAUGACUACACUUGCACUAGCCUUGAUCAUACAGUCUAUCUUGGGUUGCGUUGUUUGUGAUGUAUAGGAACAGUAUAGUUGAGAUUUUAAUGUGAUUUUUUUUGGUUUUCUUGUAGCUACUGUGUUAAUGUAAAGAAAUAAACCUCUGUUCAACAGAAA